UGGUCAUCCAUCUUCACCACACAAGUGGCAAUUAUAGCUAUAUCUGUUCUUCUUUCUCAUUACAGGAUAAUAUAGCCCCAGAAAGCUAAAGGUGACAGGAGAAGAAUGGUAGCAGUUGGGUGUACCUGCAGUCCUGAAAAUUCUUGAUAGGAUCUCCCUCCCCACAGGUCAAAGGACUGGAAGGUUCAGGUCAUGAUGUCAAGGCCCUGGGAUCGAGUCCUGUCUUGGCUCUAAGAACCAGAAGAUUCUCAAGGUAAAGUGCCAGGAAAGUCCUCUCUCGAGUCCAUCAGAGAGAAAAGAAAGUGGCAGCAACAGGAUCCAGAACAGACAGAUGUUGGCUUUGGGGAACAAGAAGAAAUAUCCUAAGAACCCUCUGAGUUCACAGUCUCUCACUGUUACCAAAGGCCUUAGAUUUGGAUUCAGUAAAACAAAGACUGCCCUUGAAUCUCCUUGAGACUUACUGUAGCAAACAUUCCUCCCCAGUCAGUAGCAGCCAAACCUCAGGGACUUAACCCUUGGACAUGCAUCUCAUAACUGCAAAAGGCUCCACGUGACAGAUUCCAGAGACCUUCUGAUCAAAUGGAUAGGAGGAGAAGUAGCUGACUUUGAGGUAAACUGAAUCCUUCCAAGAUUACAACUUCAUAUUUUACACACGAAAUCCUUUCUUCUUUCCUUUUUUCCCUUUCCUGUGACACAGGCCUCAGUCCAUUUCUAACAGGGUAACGUUUGCCUUUUAGAACCCUGGAUUUGACAUCAAAACCUGCUAUUUGUCCAUUAGCAAUG
rnacentral:lncRNA from 12 species